rnacentral:rRNA from 1 species
AACGAACGCUGGCGGCAUGCCUAACACAUGCAAGUCGAACGAGACCUUCGGGUCUAGUGGCGCACGGGUGCGUAACGCGUGGGAACCUUCCCUUAUGUUCGGAAUAACUCCCCGAAAGGGGUGCUAAUACCGGAUCAUGUCUUCGGACCAAAGAUUUAUCGCCUUUGGAUGGGCCCGCGUUGGAUUAGCUAGUUGGUAGGGUAAAAGCCUACCAAGGCGACGAUCCAUAGCUGGUCUGAGAGGAUGAUCAGCCACACUGGGACUGAGACACGGCCCAGACUCCUACGGGAGGCAGCAGUGGGGAAUAUUGGACAAUGGGCGAAAGCCUGAUCCAGCAAUGCCGCGUGAGUGAUGAAGGCCUUAGGGUUGUAAAGCUCUUUUACCCGGGAUGAUAAUGACAGUACCGGGAGAAUAAGCUCCGGCUAACUCCGUG